UAGCUGUGAUGAAUAAAACCGUGUCCAGAGAUGUUUUUCAUUGUUGACGGUAUAACACAACCCUCUAAGAAGUUCUGAGCUU
rfam:Arabis alpina cultivar Pajares Aa.chr1_contig_3629, whole genome shotgun sequence.